rnacentral:rRNA from 1 species
AUUGAACGCUGGCGGCAUGCCUUACACAUGCAAGUCGAACGGUAACAGGUCUUCGGAUGCUGACGAGUGGCGAACGUGUGAGUAAUACAUCGGAACGUGCCCGAUCGUGGGGGAUAACGAGGCGAAAGCUUUGCUAAUACCGCAUACGAUCUACGGAUGAAAGCGGGGGAUCUUCGGACCUCGCGCGGACGGAGCGGCCGAUGGCAGAUUAGGUAGUUGGUGGGAUAAAAGCUUACCAAGCCGACGAUCUGUAGCUGGUCUGAGAGGAUGAUCAGCCACACUGGGACUGAGACACGGCCCAGACUCCUACGGGAGGCAGCAGUGGGGAAUUUUGGACAAUGGGCGAAAGCCUGAUCCAGCCAUGCCGCGUGCAGGAUGAAGGCCUUCGGGUUGUAAACUGCUUUUGUACGGAACGAAAAGCCUCUUUCUAAUAAAGAGGGGUCAUGACGGUACCGUAAGAAUAAGCACCGGCUAACUACGUG